rnacentral:rRNA from 1 species
GAUGAACGCUGGCGGCGUGCCUAAUACAUGCAAGUCGAGCGAACAGACGAGGAGCUUGCUCCUCUGACGUUAGCGGAGGACGGGUGUGUAACACGUGGAAACCCUACCUAUAAGACGGAGAUAACUUCGAGAAACCGGAGAUAAUACCGGAGAAUAUACUGAACCACAGGGUGCAAUAGUGAAAGACGGUUUUGCUGUCUCGAAUCGAUGGAUCCGCGCCGCAUUAGCUAGUUGGGAAGGUAAAGGCUUACCAAGGGAACGAGGCGUAGGCGACCUGACAGAGGGAUCGGCCACCCGAGAGCUGAGCCGCCGUCCAGAGUCCUACGGGACGCAGCAGUAGGGAAUCUGCCGCAAUGGGCGAAAGCCUGACGCAGCAACGCCGCGUGAGUGAUGAAGGUCUUCGGAUCGUGAUACUCGGUUACUGGUGAAGAACAAAUGUGGAAGUAGCUAUGCACGUCUUGACGGUACCUAGUCAGAAAGCCACGGCUAACUACGUG